rnacentral:rRNA from 1 species
ACUCCUACGGGAGGCAGCAGUGGGGAAUAUUGCACAAUGGGCGAAAGCCUGAUGCAGCAACGCCGCGUGAGGGAUGACGGCCUUCGGGUUGUAAACCUCUUUUGGUAGGGAAGAAGCCUUCGGGUGACGGUACCUGCAGAAAAAGCGCCGGCUAACUAC